UAUGUCAUUCAAUAGCACAUCAAAAUACCUAUAAAACCACACGAUAUUUCUUCAGUCUUAGAACGGCUGCGGAAUACCUGUAAUUUAUUUUUCUACGUCCACGCAUGCCAAUUAUUUAUCCGGAACUACUUUUCCCCACCGCAACAAUAUUAUAUUAUUAUGUCCAAACAAGAUUCUUCGCGUGACGUGCAUUUUCGUUAUGUAAACGGUGUAUACCCACGACUUUCUUUCGAGCAAUACAUUUUUUUUCUUCGACAUAUAUUUUAACGGUUACACUUUGGUUAUGCAAUACAAAACACCGGACCACGCGAUAGUAUAAGUACGAUGCGACGCGUCAAUUUAAUCUCAUCUAUUAAAGAUGUUUGCGAACGACCGGAUAGUCAUCGUUUUUAUUUUAUCAUAUCCAAAACAACAUUACGGCAGCGGGAAAUUAAGACGAAAGUAAAAUUUAUAUAACAACGUGAAUAAUUAGGCGGGAUUUCGGAGGACAUUUUCAUGAAUCACGAGUACUUAAUAUACGAUUAAGUUUGCGUGGGUACAAAACAUUCAAAAUAGGUCACUCAAUCCAUUUAUAUUUUAUAAAUAUUUGAGUACCAGUUAAGAAGACGAAAACACGUAAAAUGUAUAUGUACAUAAUAGUUAAUACUUAUGUAUUGAUGCGUAAUAAAAUCGAUAAUAUGUGAUACUCGACA